GUGGAGUAAAUGAUAGUAAUGAUAAAAAUGUAUAAGUGAUGAUAAAACUUACUUCUCAUUGCUCCUCAUAUUGCUAUCUCUCCUCCUUUUUUAUCUUUGCUUUGGGAGAACAUGGGCUAUCUCUUUUUCUUCUUUUUUUUCAGGUGGGCAGUAGAUACCCAUAAUUCUACCAUCGGACACUUGUCUAUUUUUUCCGCUCAAGUGGGUAUCUUUGUACCCCUAAUUCUACUCCUGACACUUGUCCAUUUUUACCUCUCGUCUCACUCUUUACUUUCUUUUUCGAGGUUCCGGGCACUUGCCCCUUUUUAUAUCCUCUUAUAUUAUUUUGCAUAACCCAUGCCUCUUCUGCAUUGAAUCCUUUUGGAGAGAGAGAAUAACAACACUUGGGACAGUGAGUGAUAAUAUUUUUAGCAAUUUUAAUGAAUGGUGGUGGAUGGUGUAGUAGAUGUGUGCAAG
rnacentral:lncRNA from 1 species